UAAUGAAAGUGAACGGAGGCGGGAACCCCUCGGGGUGCACCGUCGACCGAUCCUGAUGUCUUUGGAUGGAUUUGAGUAAGAGCAUAGCUGUUGGGACCCGAAAGAUGGUGAACUAUGCCUGAAUAGGGUGAAGCCAGAGGAAACUCUGGUGGAGGCUCGCAGCGGUUCUGACGUGCAAAUCGAUCGUCAAAUUUGGGCAUAGGGGCGAAAGACUAAUCGAACUAUCUAGUAGCUGGUUCCUGCCGAAGUUUCCCUCAGGAUAGCAGUAACGUUUUCAGUUUUAUGAGGUAAAGCGAAUGAUUAGAGGCCUGGGGGUUGAAACAACCUUCACCUAUUCUCAAACUUUAAAUAUGUAAGAAGUCCUUGUUGCUCAGUUGAACGUGGACAUUUGAAUGUAUCGUUACUAGUGGGCCAUUUUUGGUAAGCAGAACUGGCGAUGCGGGAUGAACCGAACGCGGAGCUAAGGUGCCGGAAUGCACGCUCAUCAGACACCACAAAAGGUGUUGGUUCAUCUAG
rnacentral:rRNA from 1 species